rnacentral:lncRNA from 10 species
UUGCAGAACUUUUUAGCUGUUCUGGAAAGAGUGAGGGAGGGAGAGAGGAAGGGAAUGGGUGACCUCAUCAUUCACGAGACCACACCGAAAAUUUCCCUCCCACUGGCGAAAUGAGCACCUAGGCAGUGGGCCCCCAGCUAUUGCUGCCUUAUUCUCUUCCCAGGUGGCGUUGGGUCCUAAUCCUGUCAAGGCUAGAAUGCAAUUGUCCAGUUGGUACUUUCUUACCAUUGUCAAUGGCCAGGUUUGCAAUAGAGAGUAGCCUGCAAAUAAUAAUGCCCCACAGGUGUAAGGAGAUGGAGUCCCCUGUGUUAUUAGCAAAGGUCUUUGAAGGACCCAAUCCCUCUGAAUGCAGAGUGUUCCCUUUAUUAUUCUACUCCAUUAGGUGUGUUUUCUUUUGUUCUCUACAAGCAUGAGGCUUUAACUUCUGGAAUAUUGAAUUUCGUCGGCUCCCCUUCUCCUCCUUCCCCAGGCUACUGAAAAUUGGUUGCUAUCCUCAACUGCUUGCCCCACCCCCUGUUCUUCUCCUGGUCAUGGUGAAUUUGGACCUGCAAAAGCCUUGUAUCAGUUUCAAUUAUUUUUUAAUAUAAGAUAAUAUUGGUCUUGGCACCAAGGCUUCUCAGAAGCGCUCCUCUUUGCUCUCUCAAAGUGAACCCAUUGCUCCCAAUUACAGACCUUGCUUCUGUUGCUUUCUCAGCCCAAGUUCAAUCCGGUGUGAACAUCUCUUCCUUGCCUUUUCUGGUUUAUGUUCUGGGGAUUAUUCAGAGUGACCACAAGCCUUGUCUUUUCUUCUCAUCAAAUUCUGACAAUAUCCUUAAAAUAUUGGUUUUGGUAAAUCUGUAGAGUCCUGCUCUUCAGUAACCUAUAUUAUUAGAACAGGGCUCCCAGGUGGCUGGUUACCUUAGGUUUCUUUCUUUCUUUCUUUCUCUUUCUUUCUUUCUUCUUUUUCUUUUCUCUUUCUUUCUUUCUUUUCUUUUUUUUUUUUUUGUAGAGAAGGGUCUUGCUAUGUUGCCCCGGCUGUUCUAGAACUCUUGGCUUCAAGCAAUCCCCCCGUCCAGCCUCAGCCCCUCAAAGUGCUGGGAUUAUAGGCAUGAGCCACCACACCCAGUCAUCUUAGUUUUAAGAGGGCCCAAACUUUCCCCUGGGUCUGAAUUAAGCUCUGGUUCCACAAUUAGCUUCUUUUUUUUGGUGGAGGAGGGGCCUUGAACUACUAAAGUGAUGCAUUCUGGGAUGCAGGCAGCCUACUGAUGGCUCCCGAGUCUGGGUUUGAAUCCUAGCUACUCCGAAGACAAACUGCAUGAUCUUGGGGAAAAUUAAUUACCUCUUUGAAUCUCAAUUUUCCUAUUUGGAAAAUGGGAAUACUCGCUCCUGCCUCUCAGGAUUGUCAUCAGGAUCAAUCAAGAUAAUGCUCAUCAGGUGAUGCUGGUCCUCUGGGUGGACAGGCCACUCCCCAGCCAGAGACCCCCGUGCAUUCAGAGCCUGCAGUUUGGUGAGAAGACCACCAGAGGGCACCCGUGCAUCAUCCCAGUCCCCAGGGACUGGACCGGAAGACCAACGGGAUCCCUCUUCCAGCCCCCCAGCGAACUUGAAGGAGCAGCCAACUCAGCCUGCAUUAUCUGCUAGGCUGCAUUUUGUUUGCUGAGCUCCAGGAUUCUUCUCCGACCCUCAGGCAUCUCUUGAGCAUAAUCAGAGACUCCUCCCAUCUCCUCACCAUCCCACUUUUUGCACCUUAGUGCGUUGUGGAGCAGAGGACUGCCCCGCGCCGGGGAACCAGCCUGUGCUCUGGCCUGAGCACCUGGGAGUCCUAGCCACGCUGGCUUGCUUGACAUAGAGUUUCCCACUGGAAAUUCAAAAACUUCAGAAAUGGGAGUUUUUAAAAAUGUAAGCACCUUGUGAAAAGUAGCCCAGAUCAGAGAUUGCCAACCUACUGCCCCUUGACGGAUGCGAAGUUUUUUCUGCAUUCAUUCAUUCAUUCAUUCAGCCAUCAGGUUCAUCUGGCAUGAUUUUAGCACAUGACCAUUUAAUUCAUCAAAGAUUUGUUUAGCGCCUAACAUGAGCCAGGCAUUGUGCUGGGAAUAUACCUGUACUCCAGUCAUUUAUAAAAUGAGGCACUGUCUGACUCAGCCCAGAAGGACGUCAUCCAGCCAGUCCUCUGUAACGUCUGAGUAUACCUGGGCCAGAAUCAUCAACAGUAGCUUGGCUGCAUGAGGCCCUGCCAAUCGAGAAGCAGUUCUACUGCCCCAGAGCAACAAAGGGCUCCAGAGAGGCUCAGACUUCAUUGGCCCAGGGCAAUCAAGAAGGCUUCAUUCAUUCAUUCAUUCAGUGGGUAUUUACUCAGCACCUGGUAUGUGCCCAGCAACAAAAUGAAUCAGAAAUAAGCCAGACUGGUGCAGCAUUCUUCAUCACAUAGAGAGACUGCUCAUUUGGUUGUACCUACAUUGGGCCCCAAAAUCUUGACUGUAGUAGCCAGGUAGCGUUCACCCAGUCCUGACUGUUAUAGAUAAAGCAAUCUUGGAGGGCUUCUUUAACUCAAAUCUUUAUCAAGCUGCCAAGAGAAUUUGUUUGAAAUGAUUGGUACUUUGGAAAGAGAAGUACAUCUCUAUCAUUUACUAUAGGAGUUUUUGCAAGUUCUUAUUCUUGUUCACAAGAGACUCAGGCAGUGUGAUCAAAAGGACUCUUCUGUCAUCCGUGGAGAUACUAUGUCCUCUUCCGGUCCCAGGCCAUUGGCCAUCCGGAAGGCUUGUCUCUGCUGGGGCUCACAUCUUUGGCAUGGGUCUUCGUUAUUGUGGCCAAAAUGAGUGUCAACCACAAAUUCCAUAGUGUUAGAAAUAGGACUUUUCCCAUUUUUUUCUGUAAGUUAAUUUCUGUUUCAAGGUGCUACUCUACCUGAGUGAAAGACACACAUUUUCCAUUUAACCAGGGAUUCCAAUCCCCAUUUUUCCCAGGGUGAUGUUGUAACUGCAGGAACUUGACUAGUGUUGUGGCAAGGAGGUUGGAGGAAAUGUGGUCCCUGAGUCCUGUGUCCAUGGAGGCCCCCCCCGGGGCAUCUGCUGAGCCUGUCCACAGGCAUGAGGCUCUCUUUGCCCUGCGCUGAGAUGCAGAGGUGACGUUCUUUCUGCUGCUCCCAUGAGGCUCAGCACCACCUGCAAACCCUCUCUGGGGUCUUGACUUCUCAGGACUCUGUCCAGGAAAAUGUUCAGGAUCCCCCUCAGCCAGCUUCCCUGGGAUUUAAUUCCCAGUCUUGAGGAGCAUGUUUUUUCUAGACACCAGUGGAGGAAGUUCUUUUCCAUUCUUGAGGUUUUUCCCUGAGAGAAACUUCCUGUACUUUCUGGUUUGCCUUGGAGGCACCUGACGAUAGCUUAGUGGGUCGAGGCUUCGGGAAGCCAAGGUAGAGGCAGCUCCCCUCUGCCUUCUAGAUUUUCACAACUGCGCUGUCUCACCCUGAGGCAAAGCAGAGCAGGUGAGAGAAAAGAAGGAAGAUUUACCAGGAGAGAUUUUCAAAACCGGUUAAUACUAUUUCCAAUAAAAUCUCAAAAAUGUUAUUCUACCAUAUCAAGAUGUCCAUAGUUUUUAUUUCUGCAGAAGUUCCAAGUUUGCUCAUAGAACAGUUUGUGUGUGGCUCCAAUAGGUGCUGCAGAAAGUAUGCUUCCAGAUUUACAUCCGCUGCCCCAGCCUGCGCCUGUCUCUCUUUACGGCAAGUCCCUGAGGCAGCAAAGGGGUAGAUAUGCUAUAGCUUGGUGGGAAAGCCUCUAUCCAUAGAAUUUUGAGCUAAACCCAUCAGCCACAAGCCCAAACACCACUUCACUUCUGUGGUUAAAUCCACCACGUAACAUCCUUCAGGCUACAGUCCCUUGGGAGCCUCACGGUGUAUCUGUGUCACACCUGCCCCCAUAAAUGGAAUUUACUAGGCUCUGAGAGAACAAAAACAAGAGGCAAAGCCUCAGUCCUCAAACAGCUUACAGCAUGGGCGAAAAGGACACACCUUAUGUGUUUCAAUAUAAGAAAAGGAGUUCGAUUUUGAACACACACUAUAUUAGCUGAUUGCAGAAAUUUCUGGAAAUAUAGCCAUUAAGAUGUAGGUGAUAAUUCAACACGGAUACAGGACAAGAUUAUACUACUGAAAAUAGUGAACGAACAUCUUGAAUAUUCCCUGUGUCCCAUGUGGUGUCCUAAUAUCUUCACAUCCAUCCUCUUUUUAACAAGGUUGCUGUUAUUAUUAUCACCUUAAUUCACAAGCAAAAAACGAAAAACAAAGAUGGAGGAACUUGCAGUUGGGGGUCAAGGAAAGGCUGAUGGCUCCAGAUCCGUGGCCUAAGCAGAAGGCUUUUCCCCUGGUGUGUCUCCACCACGUGGUUGUGAAGGAACCAGCACCAUCAUUUGUCUUCUGGAUGAUCUCACGGCACUGUGUGCGUGUGGUCCCUAGUUAGUGUCAUUAGCUGACUCCCCAAACCUUCCUGGGAUGUGGCUGUGAAAUUUUAUCUUAGAACUUCAGUUUAAUUCCAUAAACUUUUGUUGAAUAUCUACAGAAGGUAUAGAAGUGAGG